rnacentral:rRNA from 1 species
CACAUGCAGUCGAACGAAGCAAUCUUGAAACCUAGUGAUGGAUUGACUGAGUGGCGGACGGGUGAGUAACGCGUGGGUAACCUGCCUCAUACAGGGGGACAACAGUUAGAAAUGACUGCUAAUACCGCAUAACCCGCUAGGGCCGCAUGGCCCGGACGGAAAAGGAGUAAUCCGGUAUGAGAUGGACCCGCGUCUGAUUAGCUGGUUGGUGGGGUAACGGCCUACCAAGGCAACGAUCAGUAGCCGAACUGAGAGGUUGACCGGCCACAUUGGGACUGAGACACGGCCCAAACUCCUACGGGAGGCAGCAGUGGGGAAUAUUGCACAAUGGGGGAAACCCUGAUGCAGCGACGCCGCGUGAGUGAAGAAGUAUUUCGGUAUGUAAAGCUCUAUCAGCAGGGAAGAAAAUGACGGUACCUGACUAAGAAGCCCCGGCUAACUACGUGCCAGCAGCCGCGGUAAUACGUAGGGGGCAAGCGUUAUCCGGAUUUACUGGGUGUAAAGGGAGCGUAGGUGGUAUGGCAAGUCAGAGGUGAAAACCCAGGGCUUAACCUUGGGAUUGCCUUUGAAACUGUCAGACUAGAGUGCAGGAGGGGUAAGUGGAAUUCCUAGUGUAGCGGUGAAAUGCGUAGAUAUUAGGAGGAACACCAGUGGCGAAGGCGGCUUACUGGACUGUAACUGACACUGAGGCUCGAAAGCGUGGGGAGCAAACAGGAUUAGAUACCCUGGUAGUCCACGCCGUAACGAUGAAUACUAGGUGUUGGGGGAGCGAAGCUCCUCGGUGCCGCAUUUAACGCAAUAAGUAUUCCACCUGGGGAGUACGUUCGCAAGAAUGAAACUCAAGGAAUUGACGGGGACCCGCACAAGCGGUGGAGCAUGUGGUUUAAUUCG